UCGCUCCCUGUGAGCAGCAGGGUCCUGGAUGAGUUCGAGCGGCGCGUCCAGGAGGCCGGCCUGGGGGAAGACCAGGUCUUAUUCUUUCCCAAGUACGGCUUCUGCGAGGCCGCGGACCAGUUCCACGUCCUGGACGAAGGAAGGAGGUGAGGCAGUGCCCGGUGCUGGACGUCCCGUGGAGACCACCCUGCUGGGGUGCCACCGCCUUCCUCCACGGUCACCGGGUCGGGCCCACCACCCUGGGGGUCGCUGGCCGGCUGCCCCGGGGAGCUGCCUGUCCACACAGAGCUCAGUGGGGGGACACAGGGGUUCUGAUUAAAGGCUUCAGACUCUGCUGA